rnacentral:rRNA from 1 species
AUUGAACGCUAGCGGGAGGCUUUACACAUGCAAGUCGAACGGAGUGGCGGACGGGUGAGUAAUAUAUCGGAACGUGCCCAGUAGAGGGGGAUAACUACUCGAAAGAGUGGCUAAUACCGCAUACUAUUAGAGCUGCCGAUAUCGGAUUAGCUAGUUGGUGGGGAAAAGGCUCACCAAGGCCACGAUCCGUAGCUGGUUUGAGAGGACGAACAGCCACACUGGGACUGAGACACGGCCCAGACUCCUACGGGAGGCAGCAGGGGGGAAGUUUGGAAAAUGGGGAAAACCCUGAACCAGCCAUCGCGCGGGUAGGAUGAAGGCAUUCGGGGUGUAAAGUACUUUUGGCAGAGAAGCGGUAACUGCAGAAUAAGCACCGGCUAAAUACGUGCCAGCAGCCGCGGUAAUAC